rnacentral:rRNA from 1 species
UACGUAGGGGGCUAGCGUUGUCCGGAUUUAUUGGGCGUAAAGAGCGUGUAGGCGGUCAGUUAGGUCCGUUGUGAAAACUGGAGGCUUAACCUCCAGCUGUCGAUGGAAACCAUCUGGCUAGAGUCCGGAAGAGGAGAGUGGAAUUCCUGGUGUAGCGGUGAAAUGCGCAGAUAUCAGGAAGAACACCCGUGGCGAAGGCGGCUCUCUGGGACGGUACUGACGCUGAGACGCGAAAGCGUGGGGAGCGAACAGG